rnacentral:rRNA from 1 species
CUCGUAGGCGGCCAACUAAGUCAGACGUGAAAUCCCUCGGCUUAACCGGGGAACUGCGUCUGAUACUGGAUGGCUUGAGGUUGGGAGAGGGAUGCGGAAUUCCAGGUGUAGCGGUGAAAUGCGUAGAUAUCUGGAGGAACACCGGUGGCGAAGGCGGCAUCCUGGACCAAUUCUGACGCUGAGGAGCGAAAGCCAGGGGAGCAAACG